GAGUUUGAUCUUGGCUCAGGAUGAACGCUGGCGGCGUGCUUAACACAUGCAAGUCGAACGAAGCGCUUAACUUGAUUUUCUUCGGAAUUGAUUGUUCUGUGACUGAGUGGCGGACGGGUGAGUAACGCGUGGGUAACCUGCCUCACACAGGGGGACAACAGCUGGAAACGGCUGCUAAUACCGCAUAAGCGCACAGCUUCGCAUGAAGCAGUGUGAAAAACUCCGGUGGUGUGAGAUGGACCCGCGUCUGAUUAGCUAGUUGGUGAGGUAACGGCCCACCAAGGCGACGAUCAGUAGCCGACCUGAGAGGGUGACCGG
rnacentral:rRNA from 1 species